GCUCGCGUAGCCCAAUUGGCAGAGGCACUAGAUUUAGGAUCUAGCUGUUGGGGGUUCGAGUCCCUCCGCGAGCA
rnacentral:tRNA from 1 species